GUUCGUUUCGAAUUCACAUUGUAACCGAGCGCGUUAUACACACUCGACGUUUAAUGGCUGUAUAGACACCGCCUAUACACGCUAUAUAGAAACGGCUUCUAGAAUGGAAUAAGACGAUAGCGGACGACGAGCGUGCGGCGACACAAUGAGAGAAUGAAGAAUUGGAUACUUACGUAAAUAGGAACCAUCUAAAUCCUUAAACUCGCAUCUCUGCCCGAUAUAACCGUUGGCGCAUCUGCAAACAAAAGUAUUCCAUUAGAAGACACGGUGUUCAUAUAGAUCCGUGUAUCUAUUAGCUCGAGAUACCGGCAAAUCGUUCCGGAAGGUAUCUAUCAUCGAUCGAUGUCGAGGUCUCUUUAUAACAACAGCGACAGUUUUCAACAAUGGUUGUAGCAAAAAUUAUAGAUCGAAUAAAAUAUGAUAUCGUAGCUACAA